UACGAAGGGGGCUAGCGUUGCUCGGAAUCACUGGGCGUAAAGCGCACGUAGGCGGACUCUUAAGUCGGGGGUGAAAUCCUGAGGCUCAACUCCAGAACUGCCUUUGAUACUGGGAGUCUUGAGUUCGGGAGAGGUGAGUGGAACUGCGAGUGUAGAGGUGAAAUUCGUAGAUAUUCGCAAGAACACCAGUGGCGAAGGCGGACUC
rnacentral:rRNA from 1 species